ensembl:lncRNA PVT1 Pvt1 oncogene
GGCCGGGCGGGCUCGGGGCGGCCGGGACGAGGAGGGGCGACGACGAGCUGCGAGCAAAGAUGUGCCCCGGGACCCCCGGCACCUUCCAGUGGAUUUCCUUGCGGAAAGGAUGUUGGCGGUCCCUGUGACCUGUGGAGACACGGCCAGAUCUGCCCUCCAGCCUGAUCUUUUGGCCAGAAGGAGAUUAAAAAGAUGCCCCUCAAGAUGGCUGUGCCUGUCAGCUGCAUGGAGCUUCGUUCAAGUAUUUUCUGAGCCUGAUGGAUUUACAGUGAUCUUCAGUGGUCUGGGGAAUAACGCUGGUGGAACCAUGCACUGGAAUGACACACGCCCGGCACAUUUCAGGAUACUAAAAGUGGUUUUAAGGGAGGCUGUGGCUGAAUGCCUCAUGGAUUCUUACAGCUUGGAUGUCCAUGGGGGACGAAGGACUGCAGCUGGCUGAGAGGGUUGAGAUCUCUGUUUACUUAGAUCUCUGCCAACUUCCUUUGGGUCUCCCUAUGGAAUGUAAGACCCCGACUCUUCCUGGUGAAGCAUCUGAUGCACGUUCCAUCCGGCGCUCAGCUGGGCUUGAGAAUCCUGUUACACCUGGGAUUUAGGCACUUUCAAUCUGAAAAAAUACAUAUCCUUUCAGCACUCUGGACGGACUUGAGAACUGUCCUUACGUGACCUAAAGCUGGAGUAUUUUGAGAUUGGAGAAUUAAGAUGUCUGCAACCAAGUCAUUAUAACACAGAAGGGACCUUGCAGCCAUUGUGUCUUUGUGCUCAGAGCCAGUCUUGGUGCUCUGUGUUCACCUGGUUCAUCUGAGGAGCUGCAUCUACCCUGCCCAUGCCAUAGAUCCUGCCCUGUUUGCUUCUCCUGUUGCUGCUAGUGGACAUGAGGUAACCACAGCCUAGUUCUGUGAUAAGCUCUUCACACCUGUACCCAUAUGGACUGUGGGAGAGUUUCUCUGAUAUGGACUGUGAUGCGGGUGAGUCAUAGUGCACACUCACACUUAAUUUCACAAGUACUGCCAGAUUGUGUUCCAGAAUGACUGUACCAGUUUACACUUCCACAGGCAGUGCUCAAGAUUUCUGUUUCCCUCUGUCCUCGCCAGCACCUGGUAUUGGCAGAUGCAUCAAAAAGGAUGCAUUUGACAGCUCAACCACCUCAGAGCACUUGAUUAGCAUCCCUGUGAUGGCCCUUUCUGCUGCAGACAUCACUUUGUCAUAACAGCAUUUUGAGCAGGAAGAAGCAUCAGGCAGGAAAAAAGGGGCCCUUUUACUGUGACUCCCUAUCUUCUGUUAGGGAAGAAAAUUUUCCCCAGAAAUCCCCAGUAGACUUCCCCUAUGUCUCAGUGGCCAAACUGGGCCAGGUAAGCUCCCAGCCAGUCCCUGACAGAGAUAACAAGAUUGUCAUGGCUGUUUCAAGCCAGGGCCAAUUCUUCCCCCUGCCAUGGACUUUUUUUGAGCACAUUGCUAUCUCCCUUGUCCCUGAAUAGAACUGGGAAUAUUUUAAUAAAGAAGAAGAGACCAGUGGCUGAUCAGUAACUUGGCAGCCAACAGAGUCUUCUACAUCAGAGUUCUGCAUUUGCCAACUUUUUGCAUGCAUGCUGCCUCUUCUAUAUAAGGGAUCUUCCCCCACAUCUGUUUGAUUUGCAGAGAAUGUCAGAAGCGGCGAGUCACUCAUACAUGUCCAUUGCUUUGGGGAUUAGAUCCAUCCAGCUCAUUUUGGAAACGGCAAUUCUUUUUGCCAGGCAGACAUGAGACCCAUUUCCACACCAGCUGCUCCAGCUGAGGUUCCCAUGCAGGUUCUGCGUGACAGAAAUCAAUAGAAAGAUUCGAAGGGCAGAGCACCAAAGUUCCUGCCCUGCACCAUGAUGUCAAAGCAGAAUGCCUGCUGAGGACAGGUGCAGAUGAAUACCUGUCAGAGAGUAUCACUUCUGCAAGCAGCAACUUCCCCUUCUUGUCAGCCACGUGGAUGCCAUAGUAACCUUGUGUUUCUGGCUAGCUCAAGAAAUUAAUUUAUAGGAUGUGUGCAGCAGGUCAUGCCUGUAAUCCCAGAACUUUUGGAGGCUGAGGCGGGAGGAUCACUUGAGGCCAGGAGAUUAAUACCACCCUAGGCAACUAAGGAGACCCCCAUCUCUAUAAAAAUUUUUAAAAAAAAAAA